rnacentral:snRNA from 1 species
GUGCCCACUUUGACAGCACAUAUACUAAAAUUGGAAUGAUACAAAGAAGAUUGGCAUGACCCCUGUGCAAGGAUGGCAUGCAAAUAUAGACAGAAUAAAGGAAAUAAU